AAUUAUCAAGAAAAAGCAUUAAAAUCACUUACUAUAAAGGGAGUUUCUUUGCUGAAAGUUUCCAGCUUCUAAACCCUUUCUUUGCUGCCAUUUUUUCGGUGGAGAGAAGAUGAAGAAAAGAUGAUAUUUUCUUUUCUUUAUUUUAUUACUUAUUUGUCAAAUAAGUCACAAAACACUUACCUAACAUGUUUGACCAUUUCAUUCCUUGUCUCAU
rnacentral:lncRNA from 1 species